rnacentral:misc_RNA from 1 species
ACAACCUCACCCUCCCUUUUGGGUAUGUGGACUUGAGAGUUCUACUUUGCGGUAGUCUCUUUAAAAUCAGGUUUUGAAGUCUCAGCAUGAGAUGAUUAUUGGGAUAACAUCCUAACAAUAGUCAUUGUUUUGACUUGACCCCUUCAAUGGGAACAAAGCCACCUGCUCACUGCAUCGCAAGGUGCUGUGACCAUCACUUUUAAG